rnacentral:rRNA from 1 species
AACGAACGCUGGCGGCAUGCCUAACACAUGCAAGUCGAACGAGACCUUCGGGUCUAGUGGCGCACGGGUGCGUAACGCGUGGGAACCUGCCCUUAGGUUCGGAAUAACUCCCCGAAAGGGGUGCUAAUACCGGAUAAUGUCUUCGGACCAAAGAUUUGUCGCCUUUGGAUGGGCCCGCGUUGGAUUAGCUGGUUGGUAGGGUAAAAGCCUACCAAGGCGACGAUCCAUAGCUGGUCUGAGAGGAUGAUCAGCCACACUGGGACUGGGACACGGCCCAGACUCCUACGGGAGGCAGCGGUGGGGAAUAUUGGACAAUGGGCGAAAGCCUGAUCCAGCAAUGCCGCGUGAGUGAUGAAGGCCUUAGGGUUGUAAAGCUGUUUUACCCGGGAUGAUAAUGACAGUACCGGGAGAAUAAGCUCCGGCUAACUCCGUG